UCACUAAUCAAGCCUGGCUUGCUGUUGGGUCUCUUUGUCGUUCAAACCGACAGGCCCUAAAGAUAACGACGGCGUUAUUUGGACCCUAGAUGCAACGAGCUUUCAUUAGCACGCGUUUAGUCGGACCUUUUAACCCGGUCUUUUUAACCAAUUUUCUUAA
rnacentral:misc_RNA from 1 species